rnacentral:rRNA from 1 species
CCUACGGGUGACAGCAGUGAGGAAUAUUGGUCAAUGGUCGGGAGACUGAACCAGCCAAGCCGCGUGAGGGAUGAAGGUACAGAGUAUCGUAAGCCUCUUUUGUCAGGGAACAAGGGCGGGGGCGCGUCCCCGGAUGAGUGUACCUGAAGAAAAAGCAUCGGCUAACUCCGUGCCAGCAGCCGCGGUAAUACGGAGGAUGCGAGCGUUAUCCGGAUUGAUUGGGUGAAAGGGGGGCGCAGGGGGUCUGUGAAGCCAGCGGUCAAAGCCCGGGGCUCAACCCCGGCCCGCCGUUGAAACUGGCAGUCUCGAGUUGGAGAGAAGUAUGUGGAAUGCGCGGUGUAGCGGUGAAAUGCAUAGAUAUCGCGCAGAACUCCGAUUGCGAAGGCAGCAUGCCGGCUCCACACUGACGCUGAGGCACGAAAGCGUGGGUAUCGAACAGGAUUAGAUACCCCUGUAGUC